CGCCGACCGACACGCCGACGGACGCGCCGACGGACGCGCCGAGCGACCGGCCCGGCCCCCGAGCGCGAUGCCGCGGCGUUAGCGAAAGCAUCUGGUUCUCCCCCCCGCUCCGGGGGGCUCAGGCCGUGCCCGGGCCCUUCCCGCGGGCUCCGGGGUCCCCCCGCUCCGCUGCGCUUCCCGGGGGGGCUCUGUCCGCCCGAGCCCCCCGAGUCCCGCUCGGGACAGGAGGGGGACAGCGGGGUGUCCCCUCUUCCCCACCCCCGGCGGGGAUCCCGGCCCAGGGCAGGCGUUGGAGAGGCCGAAUCGCCCUCGCUUGUCUCCAGCGGAUCCCAAAAUCCACCCCAGCACCCCCGGGCUGCCCCGGCCCCCUGAGCCCCGCGGGGCCGGGCGUGGGGCACCCCCGGGAGCCCGGGGCAGCAGCGCCGUGCGCCGCCCCCUCAGAGGGCCGGCUCUUGGCGACGGGGGGAUUUUUUUGGUUUUCAGCCUAUUUUGCAAUUCGCCCGGGUCCAGGCCCCGGCCCCAGGCGGGCCCGAGCCCACCCGAGCCCCGCGGGGAGCGGCCAGGGUGUUCCAGAGCAGCCCCGGCCGGCCCCAGUGCUGGAGAGGAGGCGCAUUAAAGGAGUAAAAAGGAAGGAGAGAAAGGAAAGAGGGAAUUCAGCAGAUAUUUUUAAAAGGGAUUUUUUUAAAAGGAUGGAAAUUAAAAGAGGAAAAAAAUUUAAAAUUUUAAAAAAUAGAGAGUGUAAGUAAAAUAGUGACUAGCGAAAGAGACCCAAAUAAAGAGAGAGGUAAAAUAAAAGAGUAAAAUAAAACCCAAACAAAACCGCCAAACAAACCCAACCCCAAAUUCAUUUAAAAUCUAAUACCGAAGGAAAAAAAACAAGUCCCUUUCAGGCGAGUUUAAAUUUGCAUUUUAUGGGUGUCGUUUCCAUCUUUUCAGUUAAACAUCACCCUGUUUAUCAUCCCCGCUCGCCGCUGCGCUCAGCAGUGGGAUCUCUCUCCUUUCCGGGGUGCCGGUGCUGCAGCAGCCCCGAGCUCCCACCGCGGUUCCUCGUGGAGCAUCCCCAGCACAAACUUCCCUCCCGCGCCCCGGCACACGCUCUCACCGCAUCCACCCCCCGACAGCACUAAGUUUUCCCUCUUUCCCCAUUCAUUUUAAAUUCGAUUUUCUUUUUCCCCCUCCUUUUAAACCUUCCUCCAGGACCGCGCGCGGGCUCGGGGCCGGUGACCGGCGGCUUCCCCGACGGGGCGGGCGCGGCCCCGAGCUCCCGUUCCGACCCCUCCGCCCCCGGUGCGGCGCGGCCCGGGGGCCGGGGUCUCUCCCGGCGGUGUCUCGGAGCACCCCCCGCCACCCCGAGCGGCGCUGUGGGGGGACAGGGAAGGUGGGGGUCCCGCCUGCCCCCCGUCCCCAGCACCUUCCCCCGCAGAGAGAGCGCCUCCGCCUGAUUAAAUAUCCGCGCGGGUAAUGCUCUAGCCAAAUAUUGAAGUUAAGAUGUAAUUAAGCCUUUAGAACAUCCCCGCACCAUAAACCCCACGGCUGGACAGGAUCCAUCCCCGGGGUUGUUUUAAAAGAGCUUGGCAAAAAAAAAAAAAAAAAAAAAAAAAAAAAAGGAAGAAGAAGAAGAAGAUCUUUAAAUUAUGUAUUAGAAGGUCCCAGUUUAUCCUGCCACACUCGGGUCGAUGCUGAGGGUAAACACCACACUGUCGCCCCCCGGCUCCGCUCGCCUUUCCCUUUUCUUUCCUUUCUUUUCUAUUUAUUUUCCUUUUCCUUAUUUAUUUUCCUGCCCCCCACCCCCGUGAUUAGCCCUCCCGGGUUUCUGCCCACGUCGCUAAAUGUUGUCGCUUACACUGCGAGCUCAUGCAUUGUUUAUGGGAAAUACGGUUAAUAAAUAAUUACAAAUCCGA